GAGAACACACACGUGGCAGUUUCACUGAUUAAAUAACACAUUUGGUGUAUUCACUAAUAUCAAAUAAAUGACGUCAUUUCACGCUUCUAAUUUAUUUCCUAAUGUACAUUUAGUGAUAAAACCCUACAUACGUGUUAGAGAUACGGCCCCGUGCACCUACUCAAAAUAGUAAAGUCAAAGAACGACCGUCAGAUUCUAUGUCUCCCUCCUCAGCUUAUAAUCAAAUCGUGGCCGUUGAUUCUCUUUUGACUCAGAACGAGCAUUAACGGUGACCUUUUUAUCCGACUUCACCACCAUCGUUGCCGCCGCAUUCGAUCGAUCACUAAUCACAAUUCUCCAGCUCAAGUGGGACAUUCGUGUUCGCCACUCUCUCGCCUGUCACGCGUGUCUCUCACGCUCCACAUUUUUUUUAAUCCCCUUAAUCACACGAUCUUAAGGUGUCUGAUUUCACUAAAAACAUCGGAGGCAAAAAAUGAAAAAUCCCAUGUGCAUGCUCAGUCAAACUCACCCCUCACGUGACACAUUGCCUCUAUCACGUGAUA